UUGGUUACGACCCUGCUGUUGUGUUUUGUGUGUGUCCCUCUUCGACCUUGGUGUAACAGGAGCGAUUUCGUAUACGUGUGCGAAAUUUUCAAAUACUUGAGGUGGCCGCUUUCUAAAGUGGCUGGUGUGGGAAUAUGCGCAGAGGAAAUGAUGUGGUAAUGGUCGUCUAAUUACAGGGAGACGCGGAGUGCACUUCCUCCUACAGGAACGAACGAACACGGAUGUCCCAAACCCAGGAAUCGUCGCUGAACUAAAUGGACGGAUUUUCUUUUCGUUAUGUCGACAGAAUGGUUUGAUCAAAGUUGAUCAAAUUUAUGGAUGGCGAGGGAGGGCAAUGUCGAUUGAAGACAUAGACAUUUUACGAAAGCGAACUGAGACAUUAUCUUCGAAUUUCAGCCAGAUGGCAGAAUAGCUUGGAUUCAACCGAAAAGAGUUGGCAACAUUGUUUGUCCGCCGUCUACCGAGCACUUCCUGCAUUAUUAUCAACAUAGGUAAGUUCAUAUUUACAACUGCGCAUAAACAUAGUCUACCUAAGCCUUGUAUAUCUCUAAUUCAUUUACGCAUGGCUCUUGUUAAAAAUGAGAACCAGUCGGUCUUUAUGUGUGCCCGUGUCGUACUCAGCCCUGGCUAAAAUUCUGCGACGCUUUGUGUAUGCUAUCUUGAUAAACACGGGGGAAUAGGUCUACCUGCAACAUGAUUCUUAAAAUGCUAUAUUUUGGAUUGUGUUUGCCUCGACAGCACAGUGUAACUUAGUGUGACAUAAUGUUAGCCUAUUCAUUUGUUUGGCGUACCUUACUUCCAAAGUCGCUUUGUAAAUCUGAACCAGUGCGUAGUCUAUGUCAAUCGUACACCAGGAGUUUUGUUUAGGUUGUCUGAAGGAUAUUUCACAGGCUAAACACAAGCAGUAUGUAGGCUACAAAUGUCCUUUCUAAAUAUACAAAUAUUAUCUGAACCUAAUCUAAACCAAGUCCACAUGCAUGUCCAAUGCUAUUCAAUUUGCAGUCCAGGAUUGUUGUGGAUUACGUUGCGGCUAUUUUUGAUGUUUGUGGUAACACUGUCCCGGGGGUGCAAAAUUACGACCAAUUGACACUUUGUUAGUGCGUCUUUGUUAACCUGACUGUUGGAGACAAGGUUCUCACUUGAUCAUGCGCGUCCAUCAGUCCCAUGCUGCGCACUAAGCACUACAAUGCCAGGCGUCGGACUAAAGAGAGAUACAAAUCCCACCCUUCACCAUUAGUUAACAGUUAGAUUUCAAGACAGGCGACAAAUGCAUGGGUUUGAGGUCAUUUGCAUGACGGCUGUAAUUGUCUUAAAUUGUAAGGUGAACACGGAGUUGUAUUGACACUACAGACUGAAUGUCUCCAAUCACUUCGUGAAAAUGGGCUCGUUCACCCUUGAGGUGCUGGAUAGAAAACCUAGAAAAUCUUAAAUGGAGUAAGGACCCUAUUAGUGAAUAUCGUACUUCAGGCACACUAAAAUGCAGUAGACCAUACUUAAAUGACUUUGUUGUCGCCUUUGCCCUAUUGUUUCAAUAGCAUGCAUACGAAUAAACAAUUACAUGAACUCAAGUUUAAAUUCAUGCAUUGGAAGGGGGGUUCCUUGAAGUAUAAGCAUCUGGCUACAUUUAGGUCUAGCAGUUGCAAGUUCAUGUCAUGAUAAUUACAGGUUCAGUUAUGAAUUGCCCCUGGAAGGAGUCAAAAUGUCAGGCCACUUGCAUUCUUGUGGUAUUGCAGGGACUUGCUGCGUAGUGGAGGCCUGUGGUGACAUACAGAGCCGAGUGGGGACUGCAAGCUCCCACAGAUCUGUUCAGACAGGUUGGAGCAGGUUGGGCUUUCAAGAUGCAGAUGAUUAACUGUCCUGCUGAUGGCAUUGUGUGGUGUGAAUGGGGUGUCUGGAUUUCGUGUGUGGGGCAGACAGCUCCGAAUACACAAAAGACAAAGACGCUCUCAGAUGAUAGUUUAUUACUCACAUACACUAAAUACCAGCUCCUGUUUAACACACAAAACCAUGGAAGACGGACAAGUAGAGGACUAGAAACAAUUUCUGUUGUGUCUUUAUGGGCUUGAACAAAGACCCGUGUUUGUCCUCGGUAGUCUGGAGAGCGUCUCUUCGAACGGACUGGAUUUCUGUCUUGCUCCAUCCCCCCGGCUGCCUGGUGUUCUCAGCCCUGAGGGCUGCUGAUAGCGGUCAGAUAGCGGGACGUCUCCCGGUCUGCGUCUGAGUCAUGGGUCAGACUUGGAAGGCACCCAGAGGGGAGCAGGGUCAUGCUGAAGCCGACCACCAGCCGCAGUCUCGUGGGUAAUGUCUCCCAAAAAAGGGCCUCCCUGCCAAAUCUAGACCACCACCUAAGCCAUCCCACGCGUACCCGGGCUGAGAUGUUUCAGUUGUAUUAACACUGUGAGUCCCGAGGGCGGCUGGUGGCCUACUCGGGCUGCAAUUUGGCUCCUCCAAAUUACAGGGAUGCGUGGCGUUUUGUACCGAACCUCAUUUUGAGUCAUCUUCCUUCCAUAGCUAAUCAGUGAGAGAUUAUAUUUUUCCUCCCUCAACAUCAUUUUCCAUUACAUUGGGCUACUUCAUGCUGGGAGUAGAUGUCAGCUUUUACAUCAGCGCUCUUUUUUUGUUAUGGUGGGAGUACAAACUCAGUCUUGUUUUAUUUCUCUAGUUUCACUGGGAAACAAAGCAUGGAGCACCUUUUCUCAUAGCAGUUGUUCAGCUUUGUUGCACUACAGCAAGGCUCAUUUGGCUGAAUAGGUUGUGUGAUGGUGAGUGGGAGGUUUUUUCGAUGUGGCUUUUGGAAUGAAUGUGAGCAUGGCACCCGGCCCACAGCAAGUGAAGUAAACAAAAACCUAGUUGUUUUGUUAAGCUUAAUUUAAUACCGAUAUGAAUUAUUUUCCAACGUCCCGGGGCAGUCAAGCUUUCCUGUUGGGCUACCAAAAUGAAACAUCAGACACGACCCCCUAAGUGAAAUAAAACUUCUGACUUGCUAUUUUGAGGAAAAUCUUUGACCACUGAAUGAACGAGUUGUUGAUCAUGAUGGUUUGCCAUUACUAAGCAAUUUGGCCCACAACACCCUCAGAAGGCUCAACAGUGAUGUCUGGCGUCCCAGACCCACCCCCUUCCAUACUCACAAUACGUUAGGACACAUGUCAAUACCAGGGACAACCACAAAUACACCUCAAGAUACACCCAAGCAUUACUGAGCCACAACAAUCGAAUGCUAGUCCACCUGGGCUAUGCUUCAACUUCAGCUAAACUUAGGCCCAUUUGAGUAUGGUCUCUACAGCUAUACCCAUUCUAUUUGCGUAUUUUUAACAUGGGAAAUAUAUUUAACUGGUUACUGGCGUAUAACAUUAGUCUGUUAAUGGUUCAGUAAAAAAAUGUAAUGUGCUUAAAUGAGACAAAUGAUUUGUCUAGGCUAUAAAUAAGGCAAACAUCUUAAUAUGGCAUUUAAUUCAUAAGCUAUGUGGCUCUGUGCCAAAUACCUCUGCAAGUGUAGAAUGUUGGCUACAGCAAACCGAUGCCAGAGCCUAUGGCCAUUCAGUUUUAACAAAUGGUUUGGGUUCUGAGUGAGGUGAAAAAUCUUUUAGCAAUAACAAUAGCAAAACUUAAGAAAUAUGCAUGUGUUGUAAGUGACGCAUGACAGGUUCUCAUCUGGUAGCCAUCAAAAUUCCAGAAGCUUUCUCAAUGGAAGCUAAUCUGAGCACACAAGUGUUGAUUAAAGUCAUUAUUUCCACUUCUCUCACUCUUGGCUUCUUUUGAGCCGCCUUUUCAGCAGCACAUCCAUUUUGCAGCUGCUUUUUCACAAGACUGUACAGUGUAUAAUUUGUCAGCGGAGGGCCCCGGCGAGCGUCUCCCAGAGUGCCGAGCGGUGAAAGAGCGGAGCGCGGGGAGAAAGGCAAAAGAAAAUAGUCCUCCGACAGCAAUCAUUUCUUUCUCCCCGCGCACGGCAAUUUGGCUGUCAGAAACAGCUGGCAGUAUGGGGCCGGAACAAUGCGAGAGCUAGGGGAAGAGGGAAACGCUAGCUGAGAGCACCCUGCGGGGAGAUCAGGUUACAGACUCUGUCAUUAACAGCAGACUGCGCCACGCACCGAGAGAGACGGAGGGGCUUCAAGUCUGAACAGGAGUCUGGGACUCAGGCGGGUAGGUCUCUCGCGUCACUCACUCGCUGACUGUCUCUCGCUGUUGCACUCGCUGGUUCUCUGCCUUCCUGCCUUCUCUUUCUCUCUCUUUCUCUCUUUCUCUCUGAAUUCAUGGUGUUGGGGGGCUUUGGAGUGAAGAGAGGGCUGUGUGUGUAUAUGUCUGUGUGUGUUUCUGCAAGAGGUGGGGAGAGACGCGGUUAGGG
ensembl:lncRNA